GGGUGCAGAGCCUCUAUAUUUACUGCUCUCCUGGAUACUGAUUUGUAAACAUGUAAAAAUAAGGCCGCUAAUGCCCUCAUGUAUCAUCAACAAAGAAAGUGACAAAUGAAUAAUUUUAUUUCCUUUUUGCAAUUUCUCAUUGAUGUGAUGUAAAUUUUCUGUUAGAAAGUCACACGAUUCUGUAUCUAUAUACUAGUAUGACAGUUUGCCUAAGUUUCACAAGACUGUUUUAUCUUAUUUUUGCAGAAUUUUUUUUUUUCUAGGUGUACAACUGUGCAAGUAUUGAACAUCGCAGCUUGAAAUGCAAUGUGACCUAAAAGACAACAUAAUAAUGGACAGAUGUUCUCUGGUCGUUCGUACUUGUUGGCCACACACAUGGAGAUAUUGAUCCUGCUUUCAGCUAAUAUCAGAAAAAUUAAGAACAAAGGAUGCUGAAACUGUGCAGUCACUGUUCAGGAUUAUUCCAGAUGUUUCAAAAGUGAAAUUAUAAUACAAUAUAUGUUACUGGUUAAUUCCUAUGAUUAGUAAUUUUAAACAACACACAGAGACUUUGCAUUAUUGUUUUACAAGAGAGACACCAAAAGAUGCAAUCAACAUUUAUCAUUUUUAUCAAAAUACACCCAGGACAAACCAUGGAUACACUUAGCUUGAAAUAUUGUGCUUUCUUACCAGAAUUGCCUGGAUGUAAAAGAAAUGAAGAACCUAAAUUCAUGACAACAAUCAGGAGAUACGCAGAAGAACUAGUAUAAAUGGUUAAAGAUGAAAGAAUGCAGAAUAAGGCAGGAUUGAAAGGAAGAAAGAACUAGUCAUCAGUAAAGAAACA